CCUACGGGUGGCAGCAGUAGGGAAUAUUGCUCAAUGGGGGAAACCCUGAUGCAGCGACGCCGCGUGGAGGAUGAAGGUUUUCGGAUUGUAAACUCCUUUUGUCAGAGAAGAUAAUGACGGUAUCUAACGAAUAAGCACCGGCUAACUCCGUGCCAGCAGCCGCGGUAAUACGGAGGGUGCAAGCGUUAUCCGGAUUCACUGGGCGUAAAGAGAGCGUAGGCGGGAGAGCAAGUCAGAAGUGAAAUCCCAGGGCUUAACCAUAGAACUGCAUUUGAAACUGUUAUUCUAGAGUAUGGGAGAGGUAGGUGGAAUUCUUGGUGUAGGGGUAAAAUCCGUAGAGAUCAAGAGGAAUACUCAUGGCGAAGGCGACCUGCUGGAACAUAACUGACGCUGAUGCGCGAAAGCGUGGGGAGCAAACAGGAUUAGAUACCCGUGUAGUC
rnacentral:rRNA from 1 species